GCAAUGAGCAUGCGCCACCAGACCUGGGGCUGCAUGGAGGAGAGCCAGGAGGCGGCGGGGGAGGAGCCUGGAGGAGCAGGAAAUAGCUGAGUUGGCGAUGUGGUUGCUAGCGGUGACCCGGACGCAGAGCAGAAGGAGAUCAGUUAGACUCUCUAAAGGAAGCUGCAGUGUUGUGGCCAAGCCUUGUCAUGGGGUCAGAAGAUGAGGGUCAAAUUCUAAAUUCUCCACUUGAAAAUCAGCUGACUUUGGGGUCCUGACGAUGCUCAAGCAAAAUUCUUCUCAUGAAAUUGUCUUGUAAAUGACAAAGGACUGUAGGCAAAUACCCUCAGUGUCCGGCACUGCACCUUACACAGAGUAGCUGCUUAAUAAAUAUUGGCUCAAGGAACAAAUGGAUGAAUGGAUGAGUGGAUGAAUUGGAUGAUUCCAUGAAAUGGAUGAUUGAAUUGCAUGGAGCCCCUUCCCAGAACUGAAUUUUUGUGUCCUCAUUUGCAACAGAGGAUAAGGAUAGUACUUGUGUCCUAAGAACCUUGGGAGGAUCGUGGAGACGAUGUGUACAAAGCACCUGGCUCGGGAUUGACACAUCUUUGAGAGAAUUGUCCUUGUUUCACCCUUGGUUAUUGCCCUCGCCACCCCCACAGAGUUCCCGCUUCCUCCCCACUAAGUGACUCCCCUCCUCUAUUCCCUUAGUUUACACAGAGCUGCCCUAUCUGUUUCAGUGAAAAGGCAUCAUCAAGUCCUACUCCGCAUUUUUCUGAUGAAACACCUGUUAUUCAGAAACCACCUGCUCCUGGUUUCCCAGAGUUCCGGAGAAGGGACUGGAACCCAGGCUCCUGUUUCCUGGCUGGGAAUCUCUCCACCAUGCCACUACUUUCCCUUGGCUCCUUCUGUUUUCUCACCUCCUACAACCAAUCAGCACAUACCCAGCAGAGUUUCCCAACCUUUCUGAGAGCUGGGAAUGCUUACUGUUAGAAACCCCAGCACACAUCACCAAAGCAUUAAAAUGUGCCCACGUCAAAUAAAAUCUGUGUAUAACUUUA